rnacentral:rRNA from 1 species
GACGAACGCUGGCGGCGUGCCUAAUACAUGCAAGUUGAGCGCUGAAGGUUGGUACUUGUACCAACUGGAUGAGCAGCGAACGGGUGAGUAACGCGUGGGGAAUCUGCCUUUGAGCGGGGGACAACAUUUGGAAACGAAUGCUAAUACCGCAUAAAAACUUUAAACACAAGUUUGAAGUUUGAAAGAUGCAAUUGCGUCACUCAAAGAUGAUCCCGCGUUGUAUUAGCUAGUUGGUGAGGUAAAGGCUCACCAAGGCGAUGAUACAUAGCCGACCUGAGAGGGUGAUCGGCCACAUUGGGACUGAGACACGGCCCAAACUCCUACGGGAGGCAGCAGUAGGGAAUCUUCGGAAAUGGACGAAAGUCUGACCGAGCAACGCCGCGUGAGUGAAGAGGGUUUUCGGAUCGUAAAACUCUGUUGGUAGAGAAGAACGUUGGUGAGAGUGGAAAGCUCAUCAAGUGACGGUAACUACCCAGAAAGGGACGGCUAACUACGUG